ACGGGGCCCGCACAAGCGUGGAGUAUGUGGUUAAUUCGAUGCAACGCGAAGAACCUUACCUGGUCUUGACAUCCCGGAGACCCUUAGGAAACUAGGGGUGCUUCCAUCUGGAAGAAUCUGGAGACAGGUGCUGCAUGGCUGUCGUCAGCUCGUGUCGUGAGAUGUUGGGUUAAGUCCCGCAACGAGCGCAACCCUUGCCUUUAGUUGCCAGCAGUUCGGCUGGGCACUCUAAAGGGACUGCCGGUGUUAAACCGGAGGAAGGUGGGGAUGACGUCAAGUCCUCAUGGCCUUUAUGACCAGGGCUACACACGUACUACAAUGGCCGAUACAAAGGGCAGCGACACUGCGAGGUGAAGCCAAUCCCGUAAAAUCGGUCUCAGUCCGGAUUGGAGUCUGCAACUCGACUCCAUGAAGUUGGAAUCGCUAGUAAUCGUGGAUCAGCAUGCCACGGUGAAUACGUUCCCGGGCCUU
rnacentral:rRNA from 1 species